rnacentral:lncRNA from 1 species
UUCGAGCCCCUUAGCACUCUCAAAUUCAUGCGGCAAGUCAAAAACCUUGAGUUUGUGUGGAAUUUUCUUGUCACACAGGACACCUGAAGCAAGCCUCCACUUUGACCACCCCGCUCUUAUCCGAUGGGUAACGUCCCCGUCAAUCUCUCCGUCCCCCUGAAUCACAGACCCAAGAUAUCCGACACUGUCUCUCUUGGCGAUGGCCUGAGAACCAAGCAUCACUUCCCUGCCUACCCCACUCGGN